rnacentral:rRNA from 1 species
CAAUAGCGUGUAUUAAAGUUGUUGCAGUUAAAAAGCUCGUAGUUGGAUUUCUGGUGGGAGCGAUCGGUCUGGCGCUUAGCGCGAGUACUUGCAUCGUCUCCGGCCAUCCUUGGGGAGAGUCUGUCUGGCAUUAGGUUGUCGGGCAGAGGAUCCUCAUCGUUUACUGUGAAAAAAUUAGAGUGUUCAAAGCAGGCUUAUGCCGUUGAAUAUAUUAGCAUGGAAUAAUAAGAUAGGACUUUGGUACUAUUUUGUUGGUUUGCGCACCAAAGUAAUGAUUAAUAGGGACAGUUGGGGGCAUUCGUAUUCCGUUGUCAGAGGUGAAAUUCUUGGAUUUACGGAAGACGAACUACUGCGAAAGCAUUUACCAAGGAUGUUUUCAUUAA